GGCCGAGUGGUUCAGGCGAUGGAUUAGAAAUCCAUUGGUGUCUCCCCGCACAGGUUCGAAUCCUGU
rfam:Ixodes scapularis strain Wikel colony gcontig_1107729128582, whole genome shotgun sequence.